CGGUCGACCAGAUGACUCCCCCCCCCCCCCCCACCCCCCCCCACCCCCCCGCCACGAGAGCUCCGGGCCUGGUGUUUAUGGGGUAGCGCUGGGGACAGGUGGCCGGGCCAAGGUUCCGGGGGUCCUCCAUGCGAGUCGUGGAUGGGCCCCGCUGUCGGCUGCUGUCAUUUCGUCGCCCUUAAUGGGCCUUUUUUACCACCAGGUAAGUGCUGACACGGUCUGCUUCGGUGUCUGCCACCGAGGAAACUUUGGGUCUCUGGAUGUACGCGGGGCUCUGGGCCUUCGGGCCGCCAGCUCUGGUCCCCGGUUCGGCCCUUGCCGCUGGAGCCGCCCGCCUGGGCCUGUGCGCCGGCUCCUGUGUGGUGUUGUCUGGCUGACCCGACUCGUGGUGCCACCUCCGGUCUCUGGGCGACCCGAGGGCGGCGGGGCGAGGCGCCGUGGGUCUUCUACCCUGUGCGCUCCCCGCUGCGGGCACCCGGUGAAGGCUGAGAUGCGACCCCCGCCCUGUGGGCUCCGUGCCACGUGUCAGGCGUUCUCGAACCUCCUGGGGUCGUGGGCCGCUCUCGCCUGAGGCGAGGUGGGGGGCGGAGGUUGCCGGUGAGGCUUAAAGCGGGCCCCUCUGGUGACUGUCCUCGCCGUGCCUUCCCCCUGCUCCACCUUGGCUCAUCCGAUCGAUGUGGUGUGGUCGUGCUCUCCCGGGCCGGGCCUAAGCCGUGCCAGACGAGGGACAGGUGUUCCCGGGGAACGUGUCUGCUCUUCUCGGUCUGUCCGCGGGGCCCCUCGCCUGACUUUUCCCCCCUGGCCGUCGGGGAGGGGGAGGAAGGCGGGGGCUGGGUUGCGGCCUCUGGCCCUGACCUUCGGUCUCCUGUCCCCCGCCUCGGGUGGCGUCAGUGGGGGCCGUGGGUCUUCUGACACAGCAGAUGCUCUCGCUUCGCCUUCCCGGCGUGUGCUCCGCGAGCGGCCCUCCCCGCGGUGGGGAGGGCUGUACCGCUGCUGCGCUGCGCCCCCCCCGCGCGGGUGCGCGAGCGUGCCUCGUUGGACCCUCGGUGGUGCCCCUGGAGCGCUCCAGGUCGUCGCUCAGGUGCCUGAGGCCGAGCGGUGGUGUCGUUUCCCUUAACCCCGGUGUCCUCCUCGGGUCCCCACCGCGGUGGUGUGUGUGUGUGUCCCGUGAGUGGGCUCUUUUGGGGGGGGGUCGAGGCGGUAGGAGAGGCGUGCCUGUUCCCCUCGUCGUCGAGGCUGACGGGUCGUCGAGGCCUUGCAGGGGACGGGACGCGGGCUCGGCGCUGGCCCCGGCCGCGCAGACGCUCCUGUGUUGGUGCUCCGCCUACCUGUACCGCAGACCCCUCCCACCCCAGCUGAGGACUGGUGGCUCGUGGAGCGCCUCCGUGGGCCCGAAGGAGAGAGACGAUCCGGGUGAGGGGCGGCGAGCCCUCGGUGAGAAAGCCUUCUCUAGCGAUCCGAGAGGGAGCCUUGGGGUAUCGGACCCCCCAGCUGCUGCCCCUCCUGAGUGCGCAGUGGCCGCCGUGGCGGCUGCCAAGAGCGCGUGGGCAGAACACCCCGCCCCGCACCUCCCCUCUGGGGGCGGUGGGGGGCGGGUGCGCCGGCCCCGCGGUGGGGCCGUGUGCCGCUCGUUGCCUACCGCGGCCCGCGCCUCCCCCCUUCGAGUUGGGGGAGGGUCCCGCUGGGCCCCGCCGGGCGUCCGGCAGGUGGGGGGGGACCGGAGCGUGCGUGCGCCGCGUGUGCGCGCGGUCGGCCCCCGCGGUGUGGUGUUGGGGGCGCGACGUCCGGUCGGCCCCGGCUUCCCCAGCCCCGCAGCCGUGGUGCGGGAGAGCCUAUCGCGCCCGCCCUCUCCCCACGAGCCGCAGCCGGUGGCGGCGUGCGGUCACGGUCGGGGCCGCCUCGCUCGAGAGCGUGAUCCCCAGGAUGUCGAGCCUCGGGGUGGCAGACUUGGAUCGGAAGACGGAUCUGUCGAGGACGGGUGGCGGAAGAUGGGUUUGGGCGGCUCGCCGGCCCUGGCGGCGGGGCCGGGUCGUGGGGGCCCGCUCUGGGGCUGGCCGGGACCGGUCGGCGUCCCAGGCGUGUCGCGGGACCGCCCUCGUGUGUGGGUGGCGGUGGGACCCCGCGCUGGUUUUCCUGGUGGCCCGGCCGUGUUCCCGGUGUCUUUGUGGUCCCCGGAUGGCGCCCGCGGCCCUGUCCCGCGGCCCCCGCCGUGCGUGCUUGCCGGCCCCUCCCCGCCGCUGCCGGCCUCUCCUCCUCGUCCCGCGCGUGCGACCGCCCCGCGCUCCCUUCCCCUGUCUGGGGCCGAGCCGGCCUCGCCUCAUGUGGGUGUCGUUCCCCCGGCCUCCGUCGGCCGGUGGCGUCCCCGAGGCGGGGCGGCGCGCGGGGAGCCUUGCGCGUGUGGGGGACGUGGGGGCCGCCGGUGCGCGGCGGGAGAGCGUUCUCCCUGGCCGGCUUGCGGCUCUCGGGUGUGUGUCGGUGGCGGUGGGCGUGAGCCCCCGUGAGGGUGCCGGGGGGGGAGGGCGCCAGUCCGUCGUCCCGGGCGUGCGGUGGGACCGUCCCUGUGCUGGGAGGCCUCCGGCGGUGAGAUCCCGCGGUGGGCCCUGGCGGCCGACUCGCGCUUCCCCCUGCCCCAGCACGGGUCGCUUUGAGCCAUGCCCCUCGCGGUGGCGCGCGGCCGCCCCACCAACACCGCCCCUGUUCCGUGGCGUUGGCCUCGCGUGGCCGCACCCCGUCGGUGCUCCUCUCCGUCUGUCCGUCCGCCUCAGUCCGCUCGCCGUCUGCUGCCUCCCGGGGCCGCGCCCUGGUGUGUCUCGCUUCCGGGCCCGCCGCGGUCCCGAUCCGUUGCCCGUUUCGCCGCCGCCUGUCCGUCGCCGCCGUCGCGUGCUGGACGAGGGGGAGCUCCCGUGAUCUCCCCCCUCCCCCGCCCCGCCGCGGCCCCCCGCUCCGGUGCGCUCGCCCGAGCGCGGGUCGGGUCCCCGGUCUUGCCCACCGCGGGCCGGUCGCCGUGUCCUCGCCGGCCGGCGUCCCCCGCCCCUCUGGGGCGGGUGUGACGGCCGGACGCCGAGGGCGCGCGUCGGCCGUCCGCGGUGUGGCCUUGGCCGUGGUGGAGUCCCCCCCGGGGCGGGCGGGCUCGCGGUGGGGGGGGGCGGGUGCGGGGGUGGAGGGAGAGGGGGCUCCGCCGCCCUCUCCCUCCCCCUCCUCGGCCCUCCGCGCGGUGGCGGCGGUGCGCUGCGACCCUCGUGGACCGAGAGCGUGCGCGCGAUCGGGCGUCCCCGCCGCGGCGCGGGACGGGGGGCGCGGCCGGGCCUCCCGGCCGGGCGAGCGCCCUCCCGCCACCCCCCCCUCCCCCCUGGCUCCCUCGCCUCGCGGGUCUUCCGGCGCGCGUGCCGCGUCCGUGGCCUCUCCGCCCCGCCCCGCUUUCCCGGCACGCCCGGCUCCUCGUGCUCGCGAGGGAGCCAGGGGGGAGGGGGGGUGGCGGGAGGGCGCUCGCCCGGCCGGGAGGCCCGGCCGCGCCCCCCGUCCCGCGCCGCGGCGGGGACGCCCGAUCGCGCGCACGCUCUCGGUCCACGAGGGUCGCAGCGCACCGCCGCCACCGCGCGGAGGGCCGAGGAGGGGGAGGGAGAGGGCGGCGGAGCCCCCUCUCCCUCCACCCCCGCACCCGCCCCCCCCCACCGCGAGCCCGCCCGCCCCGGGGGGGACUCCACCACGGCCAAGGCCACACCGCGGACGGCCGACGCGCGCCCUCGGCGUCCGGCCGUCACACCCGCCCCAGAGGGGCGGGGGACGCCGGCCGGCGAGGACACGGCGACCGGCCCGCGGUGGGCAAGACCGGGGACCCGACCCGCGCUCGGGCGAGCGCACCGGAGCGGGGGGCCGCGGCGGGGCGGGGGAGGGGGGAGAUCACGGGAGCUCCCCCUCGUCCAGCACGCGACGGCGGCGACGGACAGGCGGCGGCGAAACGGGCAACGGAUCGGGACCGCGGCGGGCCCGGAAGCGAGACACACCAGGGCGCGGCCCCGGGAGGCAGCAGACGGCGAGCGGACUGAGGCGGACGGACAGACGGAGAGGAGCACCGACGGGGUGCGGCCACGCGAGGCCAACGCCACGGAACAGGGGCGGUGUUGGUGGGGCGGCCGCGCGCCACCGCGAGGGGCAUGGCUCAAAGCGACCCGUGCUGGGGCAGGGGGAAGCGCGAGUCGGCCGCCAGGGCCCACCGCGGGAUCUCACCGCCGGAGGCCUCCCAGCACAGGGACGGUCCCACCGCACGCCCGGGACGACGGACUGGCGCCCCCCCGGCACCCUCACGGGGGCUCACGCCCACCGCCACCAACACACACCCGAGAGCCGCAAGCCGGCCAGGGAGAACGCUCUCCCGCCGCGCACCGGCGGCCCCCACGUCCCCCACACGCGCAAAGCUCCCCGCGCGCCGCCCCGCCUCGGGGACGCCACCGGCCGACGGAGGCCGGGGGACGACACCCACAUGAGGCGAGGCCGGCUCGGCCCCAGACAGGGGAAGGGAGCGCGGGGCGGUCGCACGCGCGGGACGAGGAGGAGAGGCCGGCAGCGGCGGGGAGGGGCCGGCAAGCACGCACGGCGGGGGCCGCGGGACAGGGCCGCGGGCGCCAUCCGGGGACCACAAAGACACCGGGAACACGGCCGGGCCACCAGGAAAACCAGCGCGGGGUCCCACCGCCACCCACACACGAGGGCGGUCCCGCGACACGCCUGGGACGCCGACCGGUCCCGGCCAGCCCCAGAGCGGGCCCCCACGACCCGGCCCCGCCGCCAGGGCCGGCGAGCCGCCCAAACCCAUCUUCCGCCAUCCGUCCUCGACAGAUCCGUCUUCCGAUCUAAGUCUGCCACCCCGAGGCUCGACAUCCUGGGGAUCACGCUCUCGAGCGAGGCGGCCCCGACCGCGACCGCACGCCGCCACCGGCUGCGGCUCGUGGGGAGAGGGCGGGCGCGAUAGGCUCUCCCGCACCACGGCUGCGGGGCUGGGGAAGCCGGGGCCGACCGGACGUCGCGCCCCCAACACCUUCCCCCCUUUGCCCCAAGGCUCACCACACCGCGGGGGCCGACCGCGCGCACACGCGGCGCACGCACGCUCCGGUCCCCCCCACCUGCCGGACGCCCGGCGGGGCCCAGCGGGACCCUCCCCCAACUCGAAGCGGGGAGGCGCGGGCCGCGGUAGGCAACGAGCGGCACACGGCCCCACCGCGGGGCCGGCGCACCCGCCCCCCACCGCCCCCAGAGGGGAGGUGGGGGGCGGGGUGUUCUGCCCACGCGCUCUUGGCAGCCGCCACGGCGGCCACUGCGCACGCAGGAGGGGCAGCAGCUGGGGGGUCCGAUACCCCAAGGCUCCCUCUCGGAUCGCUAGAGAAGGCUUUCUCACCGAGGGCUCGCCGCCCCUCACCCGGAUCGUCUCUCUCCUUCGGGCCCACGGAGGCGCUCCACGAGCCACCAGUCCUCAGCUGGGGUGGGAGGGGUCUGCGGUACAGGUAGGCGGAGCACCAACACAGGAGCGUCUGCGUGGCCGGGGCCAGCGCAGAGCCCGCGUCCCGUCCCCUGCAAGGCCUCACCCGUCAGCCUCGACGACGAGGGGAACAGGCACGCCUCUCCUACCGCCUCGACCCCCCCCAAAAGAGAGCCCACUCACGGGACACACACACACCACCGCGGUGGGGACCCGAGGAGGACACCGGGGUUAAGGGAAACGACACCACCGCUCGGCCUCAGGCACCUGAGCGACGACCUGGAGCGCUCCAGGGGCACCACCGAGGGUCCAACGAGGCACGCUCGCGCACCCGCGCGGGGGGGGGCGCAGCGCAGCAGCGGUACAGCCCUCCCCACCGCGGGGAGGGCCGCUCGCGGAGCACACGCCGGGAAGGCGAAGCGAGAGCAUCUGCUGUGUCAGAAGACCCACGGCCCCCACCGACGCCCCCCGAGGCGGGGGACAGGAGACCGAAGGUCAGGGCCAGAGGCCGCAACCCAGCCCCCGCCUUCCUCCCCCUCCCCGACGGCCAGGGGGGAAAAGUCAGGCGAGGGGCCCCGCGGACAGACCGAGAAGAGCAGACACGUUCACCGGGAACACCUGUCCCUCGUCUGGCACGGCUUAGGCCCGGCCCGGGAGAGCACGACCACACCACAUCGAUCGGAUGAGCCAAGGUGGAGCGGGGGGAAGGCACGGCGAGGACAGUCACCAGAGGGGCCCGCUUUAAGCCUCACCGGCAACCUCCGCCCCCCACCUCGCCUCAGGCGAGAGCGGCCCACGACCCCAGGAGGUUCGAGAACGCCUGACACGUGGCACGGAGCCCACAGGGCGGGGGUCGCAUCUCAGCCUUCACCGGGUGCCCGCAGCGGGGAGCGCACAGGGUAGAAGACCCACGGCGCCUCGCCCCGCCGCCCUCGGGUCGCCCAGAGACCGGAGGUGGCACCACGAGUCGGGUCAGCCAGACAACGCCACACAGGAGCCGGCGCACAGGCCCAGGCGGGCGGCUCCAGCGGCAAGGGCCGAACCGGCGACCAGAGCUGGCGGCCCGAAGGCCCAGAGCCCCGCGUACAUCCAGAGACCCAAAGUUUCCUCGGCGGCAGACACCGAAGC
ensembl:lncRNA